UACGUAGGGGGCAAGCGUUGUUCGGAUUCACUGGGCGUAAAGGGUGCGUUGGUGGCGGGGUAAGUCGGAUGUGAAAGCUCGGAGCUCAACUCCGAAAUGGCAUUGGAAACUACCUUGCUCGAGGGUUGGAGGGGGGACUGGAAUGCUUGGUGUAGCAGUGAAAUGCGUAGAUAUCAAGCGGAACACCAGUGGCGAAGGCGAGUCCCUGGACAACUCCUGACACUGAGGCACGAAAGCUAGGGGAGCAAACAGG
rnacentral:rRNA from 1 species